CCAUCCUUACAGUGGGAUGAAUCUAGAGCCCUGAAUAAAGUAGCGGGCUCGACAAUGAAGCGAAGGAUUAAUAUCCGGGAAAGAAACCGCGAGGUGGAAAUCCUCCUGACAGCCAUAUGAUCAGGUAAGCGC
rfam:Simkania negevensis Z plasmid pSn, complete genome